CCGCGCUCGGCGGAGGGUGCGGCCGGAGCCGGGCUCGGCGGGGCUGCGGCUGUUUCGGUCUGAGCGCCCGCUGCUUUCAGCCCUGCCCCGGGCGGGGCGCCGAUCGAGCUGUUCCACCCCCCGCUAGGGCCGCCCUGCUGGCGCCCCGGGCCGGUUGUGCUGGCUGCUCCCGAGCCGCGCGGUCCAUAUCCUGAUACGCUCUGGCGCUUUCCCCCGUUUUCUUGUAGCUGUAAUAGCCGGGCCGGCAGGGAGACUCUCCGUGCCAAAGGAGAGGUCUUCAGGAGGAAGUUGUUAGAAAACAGGCUUCAUAAUGGAAACCGUGUUGCAGUUUAAACCUUGUUAUUGCUGUCAGCUAGCGUAACUGGAGAAGUAAUGACACGGUUCCGAAGAUGCCGAAGUAUUUCCAAUUUGAUUUCGACUGGCCUUUGGGGAUGUUGAAGAAAAAUUUAAUGUUGUUCAACAUUGUGCAAGCUGUACAAGAGAAAAAUGGAGAAUUUGAUGUGGGAAACUGAAGCAAAGAGAUGCAGUGACUUGCUCAAGGUCACUCACUGAGAGUAUGUUUACACUAUGGAGACUGCAUGGACAUAGCUGUGGAGCUGUAGCUAUGCUGGCAUAAUCCCAUAGUGUAGAUGCAGCCUACACUGAUGAAAGGGGUUUUUCUGUUGUCAUAAGAAUACUACCUCCCCAAGCAACAAUAUGUGCAUCUUCACUGGGGUUUAGGUUGGAGUAACUAUGGCAUUCAGGGGUGUGGAUUUUUCACAGCCUUAAUUUUAAGUGUAGACCGGGCCUUAGUUAGUGGCAGAGCCAGAAAUAGAACCCAGGAGUUCUGGCCUUUGGCUCCCACUCUCAUUCUAUAUUAAUCGUAAUGUAGAACUUGGAUUACUUUACCAAAAUUGAUUUUUGGUUUCUGAGUGGCAGUUCAUACAAAGGUAACUAUUUUUCAUAAAACCCAGCCAUUUCUGAGUUAAAGUGGAUGAAAGGAAGGGUGUCUUUACUUGUAAACAUUUUGUAAGUUAUAUUUUUUUUUAAAAAGUGAGUUAAAUAACAAGUGUUGUUACCUGUCACUUCAUUUACAACCCCAAGCACUUAAGAGUGAAAAAAUUAAUAGCUGCAAGAUACUGUAAAUCUUGCUCCUACACAUAUGAGAAAAUAAAUAUUUAUUUUCAAAUAGAAAUGCAUAUUUCAUUAUAACACAUCAACUUGAAAUCUGGUUUGCUUUUUAAAAAUAUUUUGAUAAGUACUUUCUUCAGAUUCCCUUAAAUGGGAAAACUUGUGUUCUUUAUCAGUUGGCAUCAGUAUUUUUGGGUGAAGUGUUUCUAAUUUUUGUUUCUUGAGAAUGAUGUAUGUAGCUUAAUAGGAAAAGUGUGUUCUGUGUUUGUACAGUGCCUAGCCCAAUAAGGUCCUGGUCCAUGACAGGGGCUCCUAGCUGUUACAGGAUUACAAAUAAGUAAUAAAACAGUAUUGAUUUAUAAUAAAAUUAAGGAUGUAUGUGGACUUGCAUUUGAGACUGAUUAACGUGUUACUGAUGCCUUUGUUUUUCAGACAUGUUUAUAUUUUGAGACUGGUGAUGAAAGAAUAUUGAUUUUUGCGUUGGAGCCAAGGUAGCUGUGAUAUGUUGCAAUAGACAUUUAUCAUAUUUAAUAAACACGUUACUCUCAAGUGGGAGUGUAAAAUGGGAUAAUCUCUAGACUAGUAAAUAUUGUUUUGAAGAGCUUUAGUGUAGUAAGUGAUAUAACAGGUAUGUACAGUGUUGUCACUUUUUGAACCUUUUACUGCUUUUUUUAAUGAGAUUUUUGUUUUUGCAUGUUUUAACAUCUUCCAGUUUUUUAUUUUUCUUGUAGUAAAUUAACAUAAUUUUUAAAUAAAUGGGAAGGAGAAACAUGGGACUCAGUGGCCUUUUUUCCUAAUUCUGAAAGAUGCUGUGAAAAAAGCGAACCAAACACCUUCACCAUCUCAUGACUCUGUCUUGAGCAACUGCAAUUCAGUGACCUACUGUGAGUUAAACAGUGUUAGUAGGAGUCUAUUACACUUGCCUAAAACUACUGUUGCUGUGGAAUAUAAUCCAAAUUUUGAGCUGAAUAUGAACUAUUAUAGGAUCAAAUUAAUUCAUUGUUUACUUUAUAUCCAACCAUAAAUUCCCAAGUGGAUUUUCUUUCAGGCUGCAUCCUAUCCAUAAAUCCCAUUCAUUGCCAUACUGGCUAAUGCCCAACUCACCUGCAUUCAAAGUAAUUUUUUGCAGUUCCUUACGCUUUUUUAAGUCAGCUGAUAAUUGACAGACUGCUACAAAAUCUCCUCUCAGAUAGGGCAUGGGAGGUUUCAUGGCUUUUGUAUUUUGAAUCUUGCAACUGUGGGCCUGGUUAGCCAUGAAAGUCACUCAAUGUAUUUUGUGUUCAGGCGGGAAUUAUCAUGGCAAGGUCUGAGUUAGUUUGCUGUGAAUAGCUGCUUAUAUAUUUUCUGACCUCUUGUUAUGUUCUCGUGCUUCCUUGCCCUGGCUAAGGGUGGCUAGUCAACAGAUCAUGUCUGGAUUUUGCCUAGGCAUUUGGUGGGCAUUACCAGUCAGUGGUUGAACUCUUUGCAGAGGUGGUGGAAGAAGUAAACAAGUGUCUUUUGAAAGAAAUUACCAGAGUCUGCACCUACAGUUGCAGGUCUCCAGGUGAUUCCUGUACCACUCACUCUUGUGCUACUGAAGAUAUUAAAGAGUCCUUUAUUGUACAAGCGCAAGAACAACGGAUCGAAUUACUAGAAAUCUCAGAGCACUUGGAUAUCACGCAAGAAGUUUUGGAUGAUGGCAUCGUACCAGACAUUGCAGAGUGAAGUUCCCAGAUAUGGCUCAAUUCUGAGAAUCCAUGAAUCUCUGGGGCAGUCCUGCAGGUGAUGUCAGGCAAGACAUAGACUUCAUUCAAGAGGCAGUGAGACCUAUUCUUCAGUGGAUGUCCAGUUUGUUGCGACCAUUUGAACUCGUCCCCACCUGCACCAGGGUUUCUGGUAGCCCAGCUCUGAGGCCUGGUCUACACUACAGAGUUUUUGUUUGCAAGGCAGCUUAUGUUGACCUAAUUCUGUAAGCAUCUACACUAAAAUGUUGCUCCCACCGAUGUAACUCACCCUCUCCACUGACUUAGUAACUCCACCUUCACGAGAGGCAUAGUGCUUAGGUCAACAUAGUUUGGCUGACACAAUAUCAGUGACCCUGCGUUACUUAUGUCUCCAUUAGUGGCUUCCAGGAGGUGACCCAUGAUGCCCCAUCGUAACUGCUCUCGUCACCUUUUAGAACUCCACUGCCUGGCAAUCAGAUGCUCAUGUACAUGCCCCUCCCCCUUUAAAGCCCCACAAAUUUUAAAUUCUGUUUCAUGUUUGGUUGGUGUGGAGAGCUCACAUAGCAACUGCCCAGCUGACCAUGCUGGCUCCACACAGCAAACGUGCUCUUGCCUGGAGUACACAGCAGGUGGUGGCUCUCCUCGGUCUGUGGGGAGAAGAGGCGAUGCAGGCACAGCUCUGAUCCAUCCGUAGAAACGUUGACAUCUAUGACCAGAUCACUUGGGGCAUGGGGGAGAAGGGCUACAAAAGGGACGUGCAGCAGCGCCGUGUAAAAAUCAAGGAGCUGCAGGAGGCGUACCAGAAGGCAAGGGAGGCAAACUGUCACUCUGGUGCGGAAACGCAGACAUGCUGCUUCUACAAGGAGCUGCAAGCCUUCCUUGGCGGAGACACCACCACCAAGAGCCCCGUGGAUACUUCGGAGGAGCUAAAAUCAGAGGCCCCUGCAGUCACGACAAGCAGGAGGAGUUUUGGAGGACAGGUGAAUGGGGGAAUCCAGUGGCACAGUGAGCCAGGACCUCUUUCUGACUGCUGGAGCAGUUGAGCAAGUCCCUACUGUCCAGUACCGGCGAGCCUGAUGCAGGGGUUGGAACCUCUGCUGGAAAUUUGGCCUUGAGGCUCCCUUCAUCCACACCACUGGAACAGCUCAGAUGAUGAGAAGAAAGGGGAUGAGGGAUGACAUGUUCCAAGAGAUUCUGCAAGCCUCUGGUGUUGCACAUCGAGCAGAGGGCUUGGAGAAGCACCCUUGUGGACAGAAUGGAAAGAGAUAAUGCAGAGAGGAGUGACACACACAGCAGGUCAUGAUGUUGGAUCAUAUUAAAGAAGUUCUGUAUUAAAAUCACAAAUGAGUUUGAUUCCCCAGAGUUUAAAUUCCAGGGUAUUACUAAUUAAGAGGUCUCUUGGUUUUUGGUACUGUUUCUCUCCCUCUAUGUGUGAAACUUGCAAGCUGCUAAUUGUGUUAGUACAUUCUAAGACAGAGUCUAUUCUCAAAGCAAUUCACAGAGAGAGAGACUCAAAGCAAUACUCUAACAACAGAAACAGCACCCAGAGACUCCCCACCCUUUUGUUGUAUUAACAAUUGUGAUUAAAAUAGAGAUAGAGGAUGUAUGUGGAUGGAUGCUUGGUGUGGAUAAUAACUGAAUGAUCAGGGAGGUGCCAGCCUAAGAAUCCAGUGUCCAUCGGCUGAAGAAGGCGUCAAGUGGAAAUAACCAGAGGACCCCCCGGAGGGCAGACUGGAAUCCACCCAACAGCCUCAAGAAUGGGAGAACCAAAGAACAAGAUAACAUCUUGGAGCCGUCAGGAAUGUGCUAUCUGCUGAUUGAUUCAGCAACAGCAUGAUGAAGCAAUUCCCAUAGACUGGCAUAGGAAGAAAUUCCUAUAAAAAUAGACUCUAAAAAGUGAGAACUUUGGGGGUCUGAUUCUGCAAACCAACUUCCAGGAGCAUCAGAUGAGCAUCUGACAAGGCCCUGCUCCCUCCUCAUGUCCAGGCCACCUGGCCAGUGGCUUCGCAUGAGCAACUCUGAGGCUGGUAACUAUGAUAACAACCUUGCAGAACCUCUGUGUGUGUGUGUGUGUGUGUGUUUGUAUGAAUGAAUGAAUGAAUGAAUGUGUGAAUAAAUAUGAGAUUGAAUGGAAUGUUAUAACUAGAACUAACUGCUUACUAUGAUUCUUUCUGUAUUCACAAUAAAUGUGGUAUUUUGCCUUUUUCCCUUUAAUAAGAUCCUGCUGGUUUUUAUUUUAUUGGUAUAACAAUGAUAGCGCUUCUCAAGCUCCAGACAGACAUGCUGGAGAUUCUUAUAGACCUUCAGGUCCAAGUAACCCUUGCUUGCCUCCCACUGCAGUCUGUUGAUAACUGCAUUCUGGGACCUCCCUACACUCCCUGCCUCUACAUUCCACAUAUAUUUCUGGGCCAUUGCAGUACCCCUACCACUCCACCCCGAGGGAGAGUACACGCAAUCCGAGCUGAACAUACACUGACCUAUGAGAGACAUGGUUGGUAUAUUUGUGUUUGAAAUGAGAAUGACUGUUCUUUCUCCUUCAAAGGUUCUUUUCCCUGUAUUUAUAUAGUUUCAUUCAGUUACAGUUAUUUUUGUUUGCAUGAGUUUGGAAUAAAAGUCUAUUUACGGAAA